CCUCCCGACCAUAGCCGGGCGUGAACCACCUCUUCCCAUUCCGAACAGAGAAGUGAAAGCGCCCGGCGCCGAUGAUACUGCUUGAGCAUUUCGAGCGGGAAAGUAGGUAUCGGGGGGA
rfam:Parcubacteria (Azambacteria) bacterium GW2011_GWC1_46_13 TX33_C0004, whole genome shotgun sequence.